CAGAGCGUGGCUAAGCCUAGAAAAGCAUCUCCCUUACACUGAGAAGUCACCCGUGCAACUCGGGUCGCCCUGAC
rnacentral:tRNA from 1 species